UACGUAGGGUGCGAGCGUUGUCCGGAAUUACUGGGCGUAAAGAGUUCGUAGGCGGUUUGUCGCGUCGGCCGUGAAAACUUGGGGCUUAACCCCAAGCCUGCGGUCGAUGCGGGCAGACUUGAGUUCGGCAGGGGAGACUGGAAUUCCUGGUGUAGCGGUGAAAUGCGCAGAUAUCAGGAGGAACACCGGUGGCGAAGGCGGGUCUCUGGGCCGAUACUGACGCUGAGGAGCGAAAGCGUGGGGAGCGAACAGG
rnacentral:rRNA from 1 species